rnacentral:rRNA from 1 species
AUUGAACGCUGGCGGCAGGCUUAACACAUGCAAGUCGAGCGGGGACUUCGGUCCUAGCGGCGAACGGGUGAGGAAUGCUUGGGAAUCUGCCCAGUAGCGGGGGAUAACGUUUCGAAAGGAACGCUAAUACCGCAUACGCCCUACGGGGGAAAGGGGGGGAUCUUCGGACCUCUCACUAUUGGACGAGCCCAAGUCGGAUUAGCUAGGUGGGGGGGUAAAGGCCUACCAAGGCGACGAUCCGUAGCUGGUCUGGGAGGAUGAUCAGCCACACUGGAACUGAGACACGGUCCAGACUCCUACGGGAGGCAGCAGUGGGGAAUAUUGGACAAUGGGCGAAAGCCUGAUCCAGCCAUGCCGCGUGUGUGAAGAAGGCCUUCGGGUUGUAAAGCGCUUUAAGCGAGGAGGAAUGGCUGAGGGUUAAUAACCUUCAGCAGUGACGUUACUCGCAGAAUAAGCACCGGCUAACUCUGUGCCAGCCGCCGCGGUAAAAC